rnacentral:rRNA from 1 species
AUACGGAGGGUCCAAGCGUUAUCCGGAAUCAUUGGGUUUAAAGGGUGCGCAGGCGGUUUAUUAAGUCAGUGGUGAAAUCUCGAGGCUCAACCUCGAAACUGCCAUUGAUACUGAUAAACUUGAGUUCAGUUGGAGUAGGCGGAAUGUGUAGUGUAGCGGUGAAAUGCUUAGAUAUUACACAGAACACCGAUAGCGAAGGCAGCUUACUAAACUGAUACUGACGCUGAGGCACGAAAGCGUGGGGAGCGAACAGGAUUAGAAACCCCAGUAGUCC